rnacentral:rRNA from 1 species
UGGGCCUACGGGAGGCAGCAGUGAGGAAUAUUGGUCAAUGGGCGCGAGCCUGAACCAGCCAAGUAGCGUGAAGGAUGACUGCCCUACGGGUUGUAAACUUCUUUUAUAUGGGAAUAAAGUGAGCCACGUGUGGCUUUUUGUAUGUACCAUACGAAUAAGGAUCGGCUAACUCCGUGCCAGCAGCCGCGGUAAUACGGAGGAUCCGAGCGUUAUCCGGAUUUAUUGGGUUUAAAGGGUGCGUAGGCGGUCUGUUAAGUCAGCGGUAAAAUUGCGGGGCUCAACCCCGUCGAGCCGUUGAAACUGGC